GCAGCACAGGGCGGGCAGGGGAGAGCUGCACGCAGGCAGCGGCCUACAGCCAGGGCUGACACUGUGGGCUGUUUGGCACUCCUGGGAAGGGGAAAGGCAGAGCACCAUCAUCCAAAGGACCACAUUGUCACAGACAGCGCAGCCAAAAGAAGCCAAAGGGAAGACCAACAUGAACCCCAGGACCCCAAAUUCCAGAGGCAGGUUUCCCGUGUGGCGGUGAAUCAGCAUGAGCAAGGUGCUGGAAGUGGAUGGAGAACCCCAACUGCCUGUUAUCCUUCGCCGGGUGAAAAAAGAACAAAACCUCUGACAUUAACUUCCUGACAUCCAGGCCCAGCCAGCAAGAUACCACGAGUCUCCUGGAGCCUGAACUCUCAAGGAUAUGGAGAAGCCAAUUCAGUGCCAUGGUUUAUUCUGAAAAACCCAGAUGCUGGCAAAGUGUGUCUGCUCCCCUCCAGCUGUACAAGGGGUUAAAGGCCAGUCAGACUCUAGUUGUGGAUGCUACAGCUCUCUACCAUCACAGCAGCCUGCGGUGCCACAUGCUCAGCAAGAUGCCCUGGACCAAGGUGAUUCUUCCAGCACUGAUGCUUUCUCUCUGAGGAGACACCACGCUGAAUUCUACUCCCAGUUACCACACUGACACUGAAAGAGGCUAAAGGGCAGUAACCAAGAGGCAAAAUCUUGAUCAACUGAUGCAGAAAGAAAAAAAACACCCAGACAACAAACAGCCCUUUUCUCUAUCUGCUGAGCAGCUCCUGCCUCUCUGGGUCAUGGGCACAAGACAAGCCACAGACUAGGAAAACCAAGAGUUUUCAGCAAAACAUUCAGUGCGGUACUUUAAUUAAUGUGAGACUGGGCUGUGAUUACCACAACGCAGGACAAAAGAAACAGAGCUACUGAUUUGUUGUUUUCCAGAUUUCAUGUCUUAAGUAAAACAACGAUGCUUUGCUUAACUGGGUGCUGAGCUUCUGAGCUGAGGCCUUCAUCUCACAGAAAGAACUGCCAGUGUUACAGCCUAAGCUCCUCAUCAAAGAAACGCUGACUGGUGUUUUAGCUAAUUAAUGUGAUAAUCACAGAAAUCUAAGACAACAGCCCCUCCUUUUUCAUCUCAGAGAGAAAGAGAGAGAAAGAGAAAGAGAGAAAACAAGAGAGCAACUGCUGCACAAGGAGUAAGUACAGUAAAUACAGCAUGUUGUACUUGUCAGGAUGCAAGGCCAGUGAUUUCAGUGGGAAUAGUGGUAGGCAUGCUCAGGCAACCUUUGAACUAUGUCACUUAAUGACUGAACAGUACCAUUAUUAAUUAAUUAAUCCCUUAAUUAAUCAAUAAUAGAAUUAACUGAACAGCAAAUAAGAAUUAAAACUGGGUUUUUUGGUCGUGGCCAUCAUGCAAGUCAGAGUUUCUAGUUUUCCAGUUGCCAUCACCUCCGUGGUGGGUGCCGUGCUGAGGGACAAGCAUGCCAGUGCUGAGGGGCAGAUCUCCAACCCAAGCUCGUGGUGUCUGCACCUGCCUGCACUACACAGCUCUUGGGUAAGAAGUGUGUCGUUGGGCCUGCUUUUGGGUGUGUGCAUUCCUCCAGCUUAGCAAAUCUGGCCAGGAGAGGUUUUAGAGAACAUCUCAGGAGACAACAGAGGAAGUUAGUAGAGAGGAGAAGACUAAUGACAAUGGAGAGACACACCAAACCAAGGAGUACACAGUUGGCCUAGCAAACCACUACUGGACCAGCAAAGCCAGUAGACAACAAACAGAUGAGGCAGAAAGCAAAGAGCUCCUUCGAGUUGUGCAGAAACCAACCCAACGCCCGUACACAGCGGGGACAGACCUGCCUGGAACUCACCAUAGCCAAGGACCCAUUUGUUGUGCCAUGGUACUUUGGUAACAAAUCAAUAUGUUUGUGCCUUUGAGAAACUUUGGGAAACUUGAAAAACGACCUCUUUGACUUUUCCCCCAUAUUUAGCAUCUCAAAACCUGUAGCUGCAAGAGUUUUUGCGAGAGGCAAGUAACGCUGGCAGUUGUGCCAGUUGCCACUCUGUAGACUACCUAGCAUGGCAUUUGUUAGUUGGCUGUAGCCUGCCUGGAUGGGGAAAUGAAUCUGACAUGAGAGAGAGAGAAUGUCUUUACCAAGAUAAUUUCCUAGAGCUGAUGCUACUGUGCCAUCCUUAAAAAGUUAUAGGUAGCCCCAGAAAACAUGUACAUCCCCUUUCCUAAAGCAGAAAAGGGGGAGGCCCCUCACCAUCUCCAGUAUUUGAACCAUCUUCCUUUCUUUGCUAAUGGAGACUUUGGGAAUUAGCAGAACCUCUACACAUCUCCGCACUCACUCCCAUUUCAGCCUGAGAUAAACAACUGAGAGAGAUUUCUGCCCUCAAGGACAGCUUCUGGACAUCAGACUUGGAGACACGAGAUCAAAUACAUCUCUGGUGAAAUUCCACUGGCUUCAACCACCUUAGACCAGAGAUUAAAUUGGCCCCACAGAUACAUUAAGAAAGGAUACAAAGCACAAAUGGUAUUUCAUAAAAAAAGAGAAAAGGGAGGGGGAAAUUGAAGGGGGAUGCUGGAUCCUAACCCAGCAGGAUUCAGCCCAGCCCGCUCCACCCUCACAUCACCAGGCACAGUGCGUGCUGCCGGUUACCUUUUUGCUUACUGACUUUCUUUACUGUCAUUGCCGCUUGUCGCUUUUGAUUUUCAGAAAUUUCAAAGCCUGGAAAAGGGAACACCGCAAACACAAUUCAGAAGAUUGCUCACAAAGCCUCUUGUUUUCUUUUGGGGAGGGGAGAAGGGGAGAAUGUUCUGCCCUGUUUGGCAAACACAGAACUCUCUAAGUGGCAAAGCAUCACCCAGUGAGCUGCGUGUGCGGGCGAGUGGUUUACUGAAAAGCAAAUCUUCCUGGAAAGGACAGGCCUCUCUAUAAUCUCACUUGUGCAGGGGCUGUAUGAAAAGUAAGAUUAGACCCAUUACUAUUUAUACAGUAUCAUAAAUAUGCCCAGUGCUUUACAGCUGAGCAACACAAACCCAGCCUGAACUGAUGUCGGUUACAGGCAAUUUAUGGGCUGUUGCUGAGGGAAGGGCACGGCUGAUAAGUCAUUGGCUUUGCCCCCUUCCUACCCUGCACGAGACACAACCAGAGCAAAAGGAUGCAGCCAAAAGACUCUGAAGUCAGAUGGCCAAAGCCUGCCUUCUCCCACAGUACCCACAGAGGUCCAGGCUUGAAGCUAUGGACAGAACUUGUUCAUUGUGGGCCAAAAAUACCAGUAACUGAAUAGGAAAAUCUAUUUAUGACUCUGAGAGCAACCAAGGACACCUGAACAAGGCUGAGCUGUAAGUCUACUAGAAAAAAAAGUGGGCUACUCCAACAGCUGGGACAAAAUUAAGCAUUACCAACAAUCUCCAUUCAGAUUCAUUUCAUAUUCCUCACCUAUCUUUUCAUCUUCUUUUACCAUCUUCCUUUCUUCUCUGAAAGCUCUAAGCCACCGUAACUUCUCCUCCAGUUUCUUGGCAAAGAAUAAGUGCAUUUCCUCAGUCUCCUUGUUAUGAAGUUUGAAGGCAUUCUUCAUGCUGACAUUGAAGUCAUCAUCUCUCCCAUCUUCUAUAUCCACCACUUCGUAUUUAUCCAUGUCUAUGCGACCUUUGUAAUAGAGAAUAUCUCUUCGUAUCAGAUCCUACAGAAAGAAAAGGAGAGAUGGUAAGAUAUUUACAGAGCCUGAACUCAGCAGGGAACUCAUGGGAAGGCUGAAGAAAAGAAGUAAUGAUGAAGUCUGGUCAGAUUCUCCAAGCCUCACCUGCUGUGAUUACGUUUGUUGCUGGCUAAACAAACAGGUCAUAGGCAUAAAAGAACAAAACACAAAUCCUCAUUCUGCAAAAUGCUGCUUGUAGGCAUAAAGAAAUGCCUUGGAGUUGGUAACACACUCCCAACAUCUUCCACGAUGGGAAGUUCUGUUGCAUAGGACAAGAGAGCAGAAACUUCAGGUGACUGACCUGAUGGGGCUCCUGUGCAGCAAACGAGACCAUGCAGGAGCACAGAUCUUGAGACCUGGGCUCAGGUGUGUUUGGCACUGCAGAGCUCUGGUUUCCAAAUGUGUUCUCAGAGUCAGGGGAGAUGGGUCUCUGUCCCUUCUCCCUGGAACCUAGUUCCCAUUAUUCACAACUCAUUGUUGAGAAAAUUACCCCGAUUCCCAGUUAAAAGAACUCCUGACCUAUCUCUGUCUCAUUACACCCAGGUUUUAAUCUCUUGAUCCAGCUUAAAUUUCUUCUUUUUCCCUUCCUGAUGUUUAUAACCUUUACAACUAAACCUCUUCAUCCUCAUCUCCUUUCUAAAUUACUUACUCCUGCCUCUUGUUUUUCAUCAACAGCCCAUUUCUGUUGAGAAGGGAAAGGUAAAACAGUCUCCAUUAUUAACCGUUCAGUAUUCACAUGCAGCAGUGUGCAGCGGUGCUGCGGAUGGGCCACCACCACCCCCCACCAAACCACGCGGGCUGGCAGACAGCAGGAGGUGGAGGUGGCCCUAAAAAACCCAUGGUUUGAGAUCUGUCAGCUGCUCAAUCACAGAUGUGAAAUUGUGGCGCUGAGAAUCUGCAGUAAGAAACAGCUCAUUUCCUCUUUUCCUCUUCACACUUGUUUUGCUUUUGCCCGUCACAUUUUGUACGGCCUUUACCAGAGCUAGUCCUGAUUUAGACUGGUCUAAGAGGAGCCUAUGUCUUUAUAUGAACAGGUAACAAAAAAUGAUCAUCAGAAAACAGAAUGUCAAUCACAUAGUCAUGACUGUGUAAGGUGAUCAUACAUAUUUAAGGAGCCAAAUUUAGCAACACACAAUCAAGAUUUCCUUCCUCUACUCACUCUCAACAGCCACUAUUUAGGUGUAUUAAAUGAAAUACUUUUGAGUGAAAUUACCUUAAAUACUUUUGAGCUAACUUAAAUAUGUUUGAGAGUGCCCAAAAGAUAAAUGCUACGUCAAAGGAUUCACUUAAGAAGACAAAUAAAAUCAAUGCACAGCAUUUAUUUCCUCAAAGAGGAUUUACUGGUGAGGUUUUUUAAAGGUAAGCAGUGGGGGCCAUUUUAAAGAAAUCAUUACUCUUGGAAAUUAAAUUGUAUGUCAUAAUUUUGCAGCAAACUUGCUCGUGCAUCUGCCAGACACUAUUGACUAAGAUGAGACAGAGCACUGUCCAGAAGCUUGUAGCCUUUAAAACCUAGCUCCUUUCUCUGGAAUGCUUGGGGGAUGGGGAGUGAGAAUGCCAUUAACAAAUGUACGGUGUAAGUAUCUUCCUCUAGUGCAUAGCCUUUGAGCAGUGAUGCUGCCCAAAACAUAAGAAAAGGCCAUUUCAGGCUGAAUAUGCAAUAGGAAAGUCUUUCUUGUUUUGUCCUAAAUUGGAGAAGUGCUUCUUUCCCUUCUGUGCCUGGCGAAGUGCUGGGAGAAGGCUGGAAGCACCACGCUAAAGGUGUUCAAUUAAAUCAAUACUGUGCGCUCAGGUUAAAUUUGAAUCCUGGACAAGGUCUCAGAAAAACUGGGUAACAAACCUCAGAGGGAAAAAAAGAUGUGCACCUUCAAUGAGCUACACCAGCAAGCAUUCUGCUUCCAACUGACGACAAAACCUCCAGAACACAACCGUGAACAGGCUGUGCUCGUGAGUGAGAUGGGUGAAGUGGGAUCAAAGGUACUGCUCUGUGCAACAGUCAUGAUUGUGUACAGAUUUGUUCAUAAAAGCUAUUACAAGAAUAAACAAUCACAAUCCUCCUUCUCACCUGGCUCUGAAAAUACCAGGCUCUCUGCAUUAGCUUUUUCCUUACACAUACUAGAUGCGUUUUUCCCCUCUCCUGCCUCUCCAUUUGAUUCAGCAAACAUUACGAGCUCUUUUUCCACAGCUAACGCUAAGUGAGUGUUUUCACAGCUUUGUGCUGUCAUUAUACUUCCAGAGGAGGUUCAGACGUGCCGAGUGAGCUGCCCCACACAUUGCCUCUCCAAGGCUGCAGCAGGAACAGUCGCUGCCUCCCUCGAGGCUUCUGCAGCGUUUUAGAGGCUCCCGUCUUUUGCAGGUGGAUGGGAAGAUAAUGGUGUUGCUUAGGAGUUAUUGAAGUAGCAAUGAGGAGAUAAUGGAAUCAUACAAGUGCUCUUGGAAAUAAAAUGGCCCCACAGAACAGUAUUGUUGGUGAGAAGGCAACAGGGGGAAAGAACAAGCUCAGCUAUUGGCACUUUGCAGAAAACAUACGAAGAAACGCUGUGUUUUUGUCCUUGAGUGUUGAGCGAGCACAUGGGUGAUGAGGGAAAGACAGCAAGCACAAGGCUCCUGCUGUCACUUGUCCUUUGGAGAAGAAACUUCAGUAAUGAAUCUAUAAGAAAUGAGUCAUCUUUUCUCCCCUUGUCCUCCCUGGAGAUCACAACCUCCAGCUUGGCAGGAACCGUCUGGUGGAGAAACAGCCCCUUGAGUGGGGGAAAGCCCAGAGGAGAGGAAAGUGCUGACAUGGAGGAUGAUGAAACCAUUCAGAGAGGUUCAGAAAGAGCCUAGAGGAGAGGAAAGUGCUGACACAGAGGAAGAUGAAAGCGUUCAGAGAGGCUCAGAAAGAGCUCAGAGCCAAAUCCACACCUGACGUCACCUGAGUGUGGGUCGCUGCCCAGUGCCAACAGCAUGUUCCCUUUGUACUUCCACAAAGGAAGGACCACUCCCCACGUUUAGACCAUCAACUCCAGCACCAGCACUCCGAGUUUUUAAGAAGCCCUUUAUUCACAAGAGGAGCACAGCUCAUGGACACCUCUGUGAACAGCACGUGUCUGCAGGUGGAAGACACUUUGUGCACACCUGGUUUCCAGACAGUUCAGUCCCUACAGCAGACUGAUCGCCGUAAGUGGAUCACGGAGGUUUUAAUGGGAUAGACAUUUCCUACUACCACCUCUCCUUUCUUCCCCUCUUCUUGCCAACACUCAGUAAAUGGAUAUUAUUUCCCAGCUGACUGAAUUUUCAUACCCACAGCAUGGGAAGCAUAUUAAUUAUUUGAUCCGUGGCUAUUCCAUCGCAUAUGUUCCUGCAGCUCUUAAAGAACAACAUCUGUUCCUCAGCUCCCGAGUGAAGCAGGGGCAUCUUCACACGCACUUGGCUUACACUGCAACUGAUUUCAAGAACAUUUCGGAAUUCAUCUGUGCUACAUACAGCAAACAAGGCCAAAGUCCUGGUUUAAGGAGUUCUUUAUGCAUGUGGAGGACUGUCUUUUUUACGAGCACCUAAGCUGAAUCAAACAAGCCCACACGAGAUAAAGGGAAGGAGAUGCGUGGCUGAGGAUGGAAAUGGAUUGUUUAAACAGCCUGGUCUAAGGUUAAUUAAGCUCUUCUGAAUAAUGCUCUGCAGUCUGUUCACGUAACACGUGCUCGGGAUUCACAGGGAAAAGAUGAAGCCAAAAAAAGUACCAUCUGAUGGGAGCACAAAACCAAGUCUUGACACGUUACAUAAAGCUACCACAGUUCUGCUCUCUGCAUUUGCUUCAUCAGAGGUUUACAGCUGAAGUGCUUGUGCCUGAGGUAGCAGCUGUACCUGUCUGUGUGACCUGCCUGGGACAUUUUCUCCUGCUCUCACUCUGACUUAUAUAUCCCCUCUCUGGAGAGGGAAGGUGUCUCUCUGCAGCUGCACUUGAAAGAAAAAAAAUAAUCUCAUUUGUGACCAUCAUAAGAAAACCAAGGCUGACCUCUCACUGGAAAACCUGAAGAUCUGAAGUUGGAAUGUGGCUUUCACAAUGAAUUAUGCACCUGCCCCCAAAUCCCUGCAGUAGAUAUAGACAUCUGUAGAAGGAUUGC